rnacentral:rRNA from 1 species
GGCUCUGUCCGCCAAAGGACCUUCAAACUCCAGUCAGUAAACGCAGACGUCUGAUAAACAAGUUAAUAAAGUAAAACUUUCAACAACGGAUCUCUUGGUUAUGGCAUCGAUGAAGAACGCAGCGAAAUGUGAUAAGUAAUGUGAAUUGCAGAAUUCAGUGAAUCAUUGAAUCUUUGAACGCACAUUGCGCCCCUUGGUAUUCCGGGGGGCAUGCGUGUUCGAGCGUCAUUACAACCCUCAAGCUCUGCUUGGAAUUGGGCACCGUCCUCACUGCGGACGCGCCUCAAAGACCUCGGCGGUGGCUGUUCAGCCCUCAAGCGUAGUAGAAUACACCUCGCUUUGGAGCGGUUGGCGUCGCCCGCCGGACGAACCUUCUGAACUCUAUCAAGGUGACCUCGGAUCA